UACGGGGGGGGCAAGCGUUGUUCGGAAUUACUGGGCGUAAAGGGCUCGUAGGCGGCCAACUAAGUCGGACGUGAAAUCCCUCGGCUUAACCGGGGAACUGCGUCCGAUACUGGAUGGCUGGAGGUUGGGAGAGGGAUGCGGAAUUCCAGGUGUAGCGGUGAAAUGCGUAGAUAUCUGGAGGAACACCGGUGGCGAAGGCGGCAUUCUGGACAAAUACUGACGCUGAGGAGCGAAAGCGAGGGGAGCAAACGGG
rnacentral:rRNA from 1 species